rnacentral:lncRNA from 1 species
CUCGGCCUCCCGAAUUGCUGGGAUUACAGGCAUAAACCACCACGCCCGGCCUAACCUGAGCCAAUUCUAAGAGAUAAGUACUAUUGUCAUUGUUUCUAUUUCACAGGGAAAGAAAUCGAGGCACAGAGACGUUCCAUAGCUUGACCAAGGGCACAGCUGGGGAAGCCAGCUGCCAGGUCAUGAUCAGACCAGUGGAGAAACAGAGGCCUCUGACCAACAGAUAUGUGAAGUAAGUUUGGGAGUAGAUCCUCCAUGCCCAGCUGACAUCUUGACUGCAGCCUCAUGACAGACCCUGAGCUAGAUGAGACCUCUUCAAGCUGUUCUUGGAUUUCUGACCCUCAGAAAUUGUGUGAUCUCACAAUAAUAAAUGAUUGUUGUUGGGUU